GACGAACGCUGGCGGUGUGCUUAACACAUGCAAGUCGAACGGUAAGGCCCUUUCGGGGGUACACGAGUGGCGAACGGGUGAGUAACACGUGAGUAACCUGCCCUCAUCUCUGGGAUAACAGUCGGAAACGGUUGCUAAUACUGGAUAUGAGCUUGCAAGACAUCUUGUGGGUUGGAAAGAUUUUUUUGGUUGGGGAUGGACUCGCGGCCUAUCAGCUUGUUGGUGAGGUAGUGGCUCACCAAGGCUUCGACGGGUAGCCGGCCUGAGAGGGCGACCGGCCACAUUGGGACUGAGAUACGGCCCAAACUCCUACGGGAGGCAGCAGUGGGGAAUAUUGCACAAUGGACGGAAGUCCGAUGCAGCAACGCCGCGUGCGGGAUGACGGCCUUCGGGUUGUAAACCGCUUUCAAUUGUGACGAAGCUUUUUGUGACGGUAGCAGUAGAAGAAGCACCGGCUAACUACGUG
rnacentral:rRNA from 1 species